GUUACCAGCGGUUCGGCCGGGCACGUCUAGGGAGACCGCCGGUGAUAAGGCCGGAGGAAGGUGGGACGACGUCAAGUCAUCAUGGCCCUUACGCCUGGGGCUACACACGUGCUACAAUGGUCGGUACAGUGGGUCGCAAUACCGCAAGGUGGAGCCAAUCCCAAAAAAGCCGGCCUCAGUUCGGAUUGGAGUCUGCAACUCGACUCCAUGAAGUUGGAAUCGCUAGUAAUCGCGUAUCAGCUACGACGCGGUGAAUACGUUCCCGGGCCUU
rnacentral:rRNA from 1 species